AUUGAACGCUGGCGGCAUGCUUUACACAUGCAAGUCGAACGGUAACAGGCCACAAGGUGCUGACGAGUGGCGAACGGGUGAGUAAUGCAUCGGAACGUGCCCAGUCGUGGGGGAUAACGCAGCGAAAGCUGUGCUAAUACCGCAUACGAUCUAUGGAUGAAAGCGGGGGACCGUAAGGCCUCGCGCGAUUGGAGCGGCCGAUGUCAGAUUAGGUAGUUGGUGGGGUAAAGGCUCACCAAGCCAACGAUCUGUAGCUGGUCCGAGAGGACGACCAGCCACACUGGGACUGAGACACGGCCCAGACUCCUACGGGAGGCAGCAGUGGGGAAUUUUGGACAAUGGGCGCAAGCCUGAUCCAGCCAUGCCGCGUGCGGGAAGAAGGCCUUCGGGUUGUAAACCGCUUUUGUCAGGGAAGAAACGCUCUGGGCUAAUACCCCGGGGUAAUGACGGUACCUGAAGAAUAAGCACCGGCUAACUACGUGCCAGCCGCCGCAGUAAGAC
rnacentral:rRNA from 1 species